GACAGAGGGGAAAAAAUAUCUAAUGAACAGUGUAUUUCGCCCCUUCCCCAGUGAGCUGCACCUCGGUGGCAAUUACUUGCAAUGUUCUGGAGCUCUGGGUCUCCUCAGACCCCUGGCAGAGUAUGCAGAGAUACAGGGGAAAGACCAACUGGCCAUUUCCUCACCAGACACUGGGAACCCCCCUCCGCUGCUCCAAGCCAGACAGAGAGGAAGUUCACCUCUGAACCAGAUUGCAGAGUCAUCCAGGGCUGUAACAGUGAAACCUACCUCAGGGAAGAAGAGAAAAAAAGAGAGAAAAACUCAAGUGCAGAAAAAGACUCAGUGUCUGAUGGCUUCAUAUAAACCUAGUACUGACCAGCUUAGCCAUACCCACGGGAACUAUAACCACAAGAGGAAUAUGACUCUGCCACAUUCAACAAGUCCAAAAAAAAAAAAAAAAAUUACAGAAACACUCUGCAAUAAACAGAAGGCCUGAUAAAUUCAGCUUGGAAACUCUUUUCCUCUGCUCAUUCCUUAGAGGUAGAAAUGGAGCACAUACCUUGAGAAAACCACAAUCCAAAAAGACACAUGCACCCCAAUGUUUAUUGCAGCGCUAUUUGCAAUAGCCAGGACACGGAAGCAACCUAGAUGUCCAUCGACAGAUGAAUGGAUAAAGAGGCUGUCGUACAUAUAUACAAUGGAAUAUUACUCAGCCAUAAAAAGGAACAAAUUUGAGUCAGUUGUAGUGAGGUGGAUGAACCUAGAGCCUUUUAUCCAGAGUGAAGUAAGUCAGAAAGAGAAAAGCAAAUAUUGUAUAUUAACACACACGCACACACACAUGUAUGUGGAAUCUAGAAAAACAGUCUGCUGGACAUGGCAGGGGAAGGC
rnacentral:lncRNA from 1 species